rnacentral:rRNA from 1 species
GACGAACGCUGGCGGCGUGCUUAACACAUGCAAGUCGAACGGAAAGGCCCUGCUUUUGUGGGGUGCUCGAGUGGCGAACGGGUGAGUAACACGUGAGUAACCUGCCCUUGACUUUGGGAUAACUUCAGGAAACUGGGGCUAAUACCGGAUAGGAGCUCCUGCUGCAUGGUGGGGGUUGGAAAGUUUCGGCGGUUGGGGAUGGACUCGGGGCUUAUCAGCUUGUUUGUGGGGUAGUGGCUUACCAAGGCUUUGACGGGUAGCCGGCCUGAGAGGGUGACCGGCCACGUUGGGACUGAGAGGCGGCCCGGACCCCGAGGGGGGGCGGAGGGGGGAAUUAGGGAAAAAGGGCGGGGGGCCUAAAACGGCCGCCCCCGGGGGGGAAAAACGUCUUUGGGGUGAUGACCGCCUUGCGCCUGUAAAAAAGGUGGAGGGAGGGAAGGGGGAAAAAAAGAACGGGCUAAUUACGGG